rnacentral:ncRNA from 1 species
UCAACGGCCCUUUUUAGGGCCAACCUAAAUAUUUCAAAAAGACGUUU